UAAUUCAAGUAAAGACAAAGAUUGCAAUGGGAUAAGAGGAUGAGAAAGCUUAUUUUUAUUAGUUUGAAAGCUAGGAUUAAAAUUCAGAAUAACCUGAUAAAUCAAGAAAUAAUAUACUUUGCAUUUGUGUCUUAAGACUUUAUUUCCCAGUGCAGGUCAGAAAAAUAAGGAAAAAAUAACUUACAUAAAAAAUGAGACAGUGAACAUUUUUUUCAAUUAUGACUAGAAAAUCUGUCCAGUCUUAAACAAGUGCAAUGUGAAUAUGAGUUGAAAAUGAAACACUGUAGUUAAAAUAGGAAAAAAAAAUUUUUUGGCCUUUUAGGGCUGCACCUGCAGCAUAUGAAAUUCCCAGGCUAGGUGUUGAAUUGGAGCUGUAGCUGCAGGCCUAUACCACAGCCACAGAAACGCCCAGAUCUGAGCUGGGUCUGCCCACAGCUCAUGGUGGGAUCCUUAAUCCCUUGAACAAAACCAGGGAUUGAACCCGAAUCCUUAUGGAUACUAGAUGGGUUCAUUACUGCUGACCCACAGUAGGAACUCCAGAAAAUUUUAUCCUAGGAUCUUCAGGUUCUUUUUCCCUUCAUAAUUAAAACUCAUACUUAAGCUGGUCCUAGGAUCAGUAGCAAAUAGUAUACAAUUAAAACUAUAAAUCUUACAUAUAAAUAAUAAAAUAACGAAAAGUUAUAGCUUAUGUUUUCUCCAUUUACUUUAUAAUGUUAAUUUAUAUUUAUUUCCAGCUGGCCCUAUAUGGAAAUCACCAUCCCACCUAUCCCCUACCGCCAUAUAUUAAACUUUUUUCCUGAAAAAUAGCCAGUUUAAUGAGUUCUAUCAAAUGUUGUAUUUUUUUUUUACCCAAAAUGUCAUGAUAAUUUUUCCUUUAAAACCAUGUAGGGAUCAUUGACUCGGUGUUUGUUAUCUUUUUUUAAAAAGUAAAAAAAAAAAAAAAAAAAAAAAAAAAAUGAUUGGUUAACCAAUAUUAAUAUGUAUAAAUGCAAAGUUGGAACUGUUUUCAUUUGCUGUAGAGAAGUACAUGGUUUUUAAUAUGAGGGCUUUUGGAAGGAUAAUUUAAUCAAUUAGUGGGACCACACCAAGGGAAGGGUUUGUUUUUUGUUUGAGAAAGUGUUUAGUUAGCUGAAAUCUUGAUGAAUUUGAGUUACGUUGAUCAAGAGGGAGAAAAAAGUUGGUGGAAGAAAGGAGGAUCUAUGUACAAGAUCCUCAUGUGGGAAGAUUUUAGUACCUAACAUUAAAUGAAAGUCAGAAUGACAGAAGCCAAGGACUAGAGAGUGCAUGGAAAGAGGUUAUGCUAAGGAGUUAUGUCGGAGCCAAAUUGCAGGAUAUUGUGGGCCAAGGUUUUUUAUCCUUAGAGUUAUUAUUUAAAUUUAAACUAAUAUUCUUUACACUCUACAAAGACUUACCACUGCAGUUGACCCUUGAGCAGCUUGGGAGUUAGUGAUGCCACUCCUACAAGCAGUCAAAAACCCAAGGAUAAUUUAUAGUUGGCCUUAUUAUCUGAGGUUCCUCUGUGUGGGAAGAUUCAACCAAUUGCAGAUCCCAUAAUACUGUAGUAUUUAUUAUUGGGGAAAAAAAAUCUGGAUUUUUUGGAUACACAUAGUUCAGACUCCUGUUGUUCAAGAGUCAGCUGUACUUGCUCCGGUGGUUGUAUUCUAAGAGUUCAUUUUUCUUUCAGUUUAAGACUUACAGUGCUUUUCCUAUGGAAUCAUUGUUGUAGAGAUCAAGUCUCCUAAAACACUUUUAACACAGUUAACAGUGGAAGGUAGUGAAUAUUAACAUUGAGCCCUUAAGAAAACUAGGUGGAAGAUAGAAAAGAAAAACAAAAAAGGGGAUUAAAAUUGGUAUCUCUACAUACUCAAGAGAAUGUCCUGAGUGUGAUUGACUGAGUUUGAAUAAUAAGGAAAAAAGUCUGCAAGUGUAGGAGGCUAGUGUAGGAGAUCCUAGCAAAUGAUUAUCAUAUUCAGUUGGACAGCUUAAGACCCUCACUUGGUACCUGUAUGAAGCAGUGUGAUAUCCGAAGCAUACCAAGGCAGGGAAAGUAGAAGACAUCAUAUUCACAAAUUCAAUGUUCCAAAUCUAGGAAAUAUUUGUGUCAAUGUUAUUAAAACAUAAAAUUAAAAAAUAUAUUUUAAGUAGAAUUGCAAAAUGGUAAUACAAUGCCAACUGUGUUUUGGUUUUUUUAGAGUAAAAAAGUAAGAAGUUAGAAGAAUUAUAUUUUACUAAGUAACAUUAUCUCAGGCCUUUAUGGUAGCUUUGAGAAUAUUGCUGAAUCUCCCUUGGAGUAGUGCUCAUAUUUAUUUGUUUGUUUUUUGGUUUAUUUUUAGCCACACCCAUGGCAUCUGGAAGUUCAUGGCCAGGGAUCAAAUCUAAGCCUCAGCUGAGGCCUACAUCACAAGCUGUGGCAAUGCCAGAUCCUUAACCCUCUGUGCUGGGCCAGGGAUUGAACUCAUGCUACCACAGAGAUGAGAUGGCAUCCUUAACCUGCUGUGGCACAGCAGGAACUCCUGAAGUAGUACUUUUAAAGACAAAGUUGAAGGAAUUUAAUUUUUAAUCUUAUUUUCCAUUUAACUUAGAACAUCGUCAAUAAGAUAGUUUCAUUUCUUGUUGAUAUUUAAAUUUUAAGCCUCUUUGAACACCAGCUUACAUCUAUAUUAGUAAACAAUCUAGUUAAUAAAGUUUAUUAAGAAUAUUAUAAAAAGAUGGAUCAGUUACUUGAAUUUUAUCAAGACCAAAAUGUCACAAAAAAAAAUGUGUUAAAUUGUAAGGAAAAGGUAAAAUAUAUGCAAGCAUUCACUGAAUAGUCAUCACAAUACUGUUGGUUGAGGAAUUCUGCCAGUACAUCAUCCUUUAUCAGGUGAUCUUGAACUUUAACUUUCUGGCAUUCUCAAGUAUGGCUUUUAAAGCAGAUUAACAUCUAAAAUUAAGAACUGCAGAAUUGACUUUAGUGGUUAUUUACUCAUGUAUUUGCACUUUUACUUACAAAACAUUCUAAAUUAGAAAGUAUCACUACCAUUUAUUUAUUUAUUUUUGCAGUGUCUAGCAGACUACUGGUAUUCAGAGACCAUAAAUAUUUGGGAAGAUUAUUGGGGUUUGAAAACACAGUUUACUAAAUUUAUCUGAUAUCUCUAAGGGUCAUCGUACCUUUUAAACAGAAAUGAGGAAUCACUUGGAAAUUAUUCAGGGAUUGAUGUGUUCCCUCUGUUUUACAGGUUUCUACUUGUCUAUCAAAGUAUAUUCCAAAAAUCCCUAGUUCUGUGAUAAUAGGUAUGGCCAUCCUCCCCUAUCUCCCAUGAGAUUUCUUCAUUGACGUUUUGAAAACUUGAUUGAAGAAUACUGAACAGGAUUUUUUUUACCAUAAUAGCAAUCACUAACAUUUAUUGAGUGCUUACUUUGUGCCAGUCACUAUGCUAAGAGUUUUACAUACAUUAUCUUAUUUAAUCUUAACAACCAGAAAAAACACUUGGAAGAAUAUUCCAGAAGUAUUUCCUUGUAUUACUUCACAGCUUAUAAGCACCAGUGCAAGAACUUCUGUUAAGAAUGUAAUAGUGAGAAAAAUACCAUUUUCUGUUGUUAAACAUCCUGUGGCUUUGGGAAAGAAGAUUAUGAAAUUUAUCCUUAAAAUUAAACAUUGAACUUAAUAAUGUUUUCUAUGCUCUUCUAACCAUAGUAUUCACAGAUAAUCAGUGAAAACCAUUAUAUUCUUUUAUGACUAGGAAACAACCUUUAAGGCUUCAGAGAGAUGCCUGGGUUUGAACACAGGUUCUAUAGUGUUCAAACACAGGCCACUAUAGUGUUCAACUUUGGUGAGCUGUUAAGGUUCUGAAAUUGAGUUUAUCUGUAAAAUUAGUAUAGUGGUACAUUUCUCACAGAGUUAGUUGUGACUAUUAAGUGAUAGAGUACCAAGCGUAUAUGAAGUCCUAGCAUAUAGUGUACAUUCACUGAAACUUGGUUUUCUUUCUUUUUCCUUUUCUUCUUUUUCUGUUAGUAAUAACCAUGUUUUAGAAUCUUCAUGAAAUUAUAUACACAUUAAAUUUUUAAAUUGUUUUCCUUUUAAAAAGUAAUCUAUUUCUCCUAAAAUUAUUUUAAAACUUUCCUUAAAUUCUGAUUUGAGGGCUUGAUUUACUUCAUCUUUUUGCUUUUCUGCAUUUUGCUAAUGAAAUGGGCACUUGUAAAUGUUGUUGAACUCAGAUAUAAAUUUAAGUAGCCACACUUCAUUAAUGUAAACACUCUACUGAAAGCUUACAGCUAUGCUUUUGGUUCUUAUUAAGUGAAAGAAUAUUAAAUAGAGUUCCUUUUUUUGUCUUUAUUUCCCCACACUAAACAGGCGAUAGUGCAAAGAAGUUAAGUGCCUGGACUCUAGGGCAAAUCUGUUUGGAAUCAAAUCCCUACUUUACCACUUAACUAUGUGACACCUGCAUCUCAAUUUACACAUUAGUAAAAUGGGUGUAAUAAUUGUGCCCACCUUAGGGCAUAUAUCUAUAUCUAUCUAUAUAUAACUGUUAAAAAUGCCUUGCACAUACUGAGUGCUGUAACAGUGUUAACUGUUAAUAGUGAUUAUAUGUAUUAUCUGUAGAUGAAUAUGUAUUAUCUGUAUAUCAGUUGUAUUAUAGAAAAAAUUGUUACUACUGUUCUGGUAAGAGUCUAAUUUGGUAAUUUUUCAUUUGGUAGAAUAAAAACAAAUUCAGUUUAAUUUACGGUUCCAUGAAAAGUAUGUAGCAUUUGUAUUUGGCAAAUUCUUCACUUUUUUUUUUACUUCUUAAUCGUAUUAUUGGAGAUAGUGAAAAAUCCCUGUUGUUUCUGGUGAAGAAGCUAAGACAUAAGUAAAUUUAGGAGCUUUUAAAGCAUAGCAGUUUUUAAAGUUAGUAGAAAGUUAGUAUUCAGAGUAUUCCAUGUGCUAUUAUGUUGAGCCAUGCAUCUCUACUCCUUAUUAAAUAUUCAAACAACAAACCUAUUAGUUGGCAAACUAAAUGUUAAAGGGAUAUUAUUCUGUUCUUCAAGACUUUCAUUGGCUUAUGUCUCCUUUGGAUGUGUUCUCUUAAGAUUGAUUCACUUAGCCUUAAAUUAAUUCAAAGAUUGUAUGCAAAAAAAUUGUCUUUGCUGGCAUUGGACUAAUUAAAGCUAAGUGGUGGUGGCCCAGCUAUCCUUUAGGACAUUUGUGGGUGGAGUAUCUUUUUUAGUAAUCAGCUGCCUUCCCUUCCCGCCUCAUUUGAUGAAAUGGAAAAUUUCUCUACAAUUUCUCAUAGUAUCAGUAACCAUUGUAGUAAUACUGUGCUUUUCUGAACCAUCCAAGAAACUUAACCGUCAUUCUUAAUAUUAGUUUCUAUGAAAAAUGAUUCCAAGUUUCAAAGAAUAAAUUGAAAAGCACUAGGAUUAUAAGAACAGUUUUCUGGGUUUUUUUUAGAAAGAUACAUUAGAGAAACAUUUAAAAUAUUUGUUUUUUCUUGUUUAAAAUACUGCACAUUGUCUCUAAUUAAUCAAUUUAAGAAAGUUAUGAACAGUUUGUUUGGAAUCCAGAAAAUAAUAAAUGAUGAUGACUAGAAAACUCAAAAGCAUCCCUUUAAGAGAGAAUUGUAAAUGUUACUUAGACAAGUAAUAGAAAAGUGUCAUUUAGGAGUAGUAAAUAAUUUACUAUGAAUUUUCUCUUUAAAACUAACAAAACUUAAAACUUAGUAUUUUAGUUUAAUAAUUUGGAAAUCUUAAUAGGUGCUUUCACAUCAGUGCCACUUUUAUUGUAGAAAACUAAACAAGGAUAAAUUUAUAUAUGUUGAAAAUAGCAGUAUUGACUCAAACACAAAAUAUCCUGUUUUCUAUCCUUGUGAAAUAAUGUUUAAAUUGUAAACAAAUUUGGAAAAAUGUUUUUCUCUAUCUUUUUUUAUAUUUUUUAUUCUUAUUUUUUUUUAGUGUUUUCAUGUAUACACUCUACCGAUUAUUAGGGGCAUAGACUCAGGGAACCUAGUCACCUAAUAACCGAAUUUGAAAACUCUCAAAUUAUUUUGUAAAUCCUGUUGUGAUUAAACCACUUUAAGUUUCUCCUAAAAAAAAAGUCAAGUUAUGUUUAAAAUAAUCUUUUUUAAAGUUAUGGCUUCUGAAAAGGAUUAUUUCUUGAAAGGAGAUUGUGAACAUUUUAGAAUAUUAUUAAGGCUACCAUCAGCUGCUAAGGGACAUCAAAUCCUGACUCAAGGAAAUAGUAAUUUUUCAUAAGUAGGAAUUUUUCUAAAGUAGAGAAAAGAUGUACAUUGUUGUCUGUUACAUAUGCAAUUAGGUAAAAAAAGUCCUAGGACUUAAGAAGCAAUCUCAGGUUUUUCAUAGCGGUGUAGAGAAGUAUAAAUAUUUAUUCAGUUGCUUGUUCUACACAUGUUAACUACAUGAUAUGAGCCAUGUAUGCAGCAAUAAAUAAGACAGGUAGGUAUAUGAUAUCAUAUGGUAUUUGUCUUUCUCUUUCUGACUUACUUCACUCGGAGUGAGAGACUGUAGUUCCAUUCAUGUUGCUGCAAAUGAAAAGACUUAGAGAAAAGACUUGUGGUUGCCAAGGGGGAGGGGGAGGGAGUAGGAUGGAUUGGGAGCUUGGGGUUAAUAGAUGCAGACUAUUGCCUUGGGAAUGGAUUAGCAAUGAUAUCCUGUUGUGUAGCACUGGGAGCUAUGUCUAGUCACAUGAUGGAGCAUGAUAAUGUGAGAAAAAAGAAUGUAUACGUGUAUGUGUAACUGAGUCACCAUGCUGUACAGUAGAAAAAAA
rnacentral:lncRNA from 1 species